GGCCGGCCCCUCCCAGCCCGCUUCCUUGGUAACUGCUCUUCCAGAGCCCCUCUCAAAACCCCACUCCAGUUCCCAGCCAGUGGCCUCGCGGGCUCCUCCCUCAUCAUGUCUGGGUUCAGGUCUGGUGGGCCCUGCGCCAGCACUCCAGGGCCCCUUGCCUUUCUUGUCUACACUCAGCUGACCUGCCCAGGCCUCACACUGGCCUGUCCUUCUGAAGUCCCUUCGGCUGCUCCCCUGCAGCAGGGUCUUCUGGGCCCUGGCACGUGCAGUGCCCUCUGCCCAGACACUGUCCCUUCCCUGUGGUGAGUUGCCUGACUCAUCUCACUCGCUCCUCCAGGAAGUCUGUGCUGGUCCCCAAGCCCAGGCUGGGCCUCCUGUGUGUCCCCCAGCCCUGUGGGCUAUAGCAUCUGUCUCCUCUGUGCAGAGAAGGCUGCCAGGGGCUUGGGGGGCAGCGCCCACACACGAUGCCGGCCCAUGAAUGUUUGCUGACUGCGUAAGCCGUCCUGGCAUGGAACGUAUGCAUCUGACUGUCAGGCCCUCAGCAAGUGCCUCUUAGCAGGAGGUGCCCCCAUGCCCAUGGGGAGACUGUGAGGGGCCAGGGCAUCCCGGGCCCGGUGAGAGGGCCAGGUACAGAGAUAGCUGCCUGGGGCCACAGGCAGAAGAACGAGCUUGGCGAUUGAGAGGAGGGUAGAGAGAGCGGGCAGCUAGGGCUUCGCACUGGGACUCUGGGUGCCGCAGUGGCCCUGGGCACCCUGGCGCUCUCUCCAACAGCAGGAGCCGUGCAGCUGGGGGUGCGCACCUGCCAGCAGCUGCCUCCUCCUGUGGGACAGGUCGACCGCUUCUCGGUUCUGUCGGCAGGGCUUCUGUCCCAGGUGUGAAGACAAACGCGAGAGUGUGAUCCCUAACUCACAACCCGUUAUGAAAGUUGCUAAUCUCACAAUUUCUUUCUUAUUCUUAUAGUUUUUUAGGGGGAUUUCAGGUUUUUACAUCUUCCUCUACUAGAAAAUGGUAAUCUUACCGAACAUGAAAGAAUAUCAUCUGUAGCAAAGACUGUAAAUUAUUCCUCAAUAUCUAGUAUCUCCUUCAUCAGUAACAGAGCUCCUGGCACAGCUGGCAAAGGCCACACUUCCAGCUUCCCUCCAGCUGGGUGGGGCCUGCGACUGAGUUCUGGCAAAGGCCAAUGAAAAAAACUUGGAGCUUUGUGUGAGCUUCUAGAAAGUGUUCUUAGAGAUCGUGCUCUACUGUUGUUUUCCUCCUUUCUGCUGGCUGGGAUGAUGCGAAGAUGGUGGGAUGUCGAGCAGCUAUUUUGCACCAUGAGAUGGGAGCCAUAUGUUGAAAGUAAGGGAGCAACGCAAUGAAAGGAGCCAGGACCUCCAAGGGCCGGUAGGCUGCCCUACCAGCUCUGGACUGCUUACCUCCGGAUUUUGUUUACAUGAGCAUAUAAAUUUCUAUUUUAUUUUAGCCAUUGUUACAUUGGGUUGUCCAUCACUCGCAGCUGACCCUGAUCUCAACUGAUAAGCGGAAGUUGCAGGUUCUGGGCUGUAAAUCAGUUGUCCCUUAGUGGAGACACAGGACCUCUCUGCUGAGAUGAUUCAACUCUGAGUCUCUAGGUAUUAGACCAAGUUUCUUUUUCAUUAAACUUUUACUUGCUAUGUUAUGGAGCUCUGAAACCUGUCUUUGAAGGAGAUUUCACGUUUCAGAGACUGCAUCCUCUCCAGAAGUGCUGCAGGCCGGCAGUGCCCCGUCCACCACCCUCUCAGCCCGGCCUGCUCCGUGCUGGCCCGCCCACCCUCCGGUCUGCACGGCUCCCACUGGCCCCAAGGCCUAUCUGUCUCACAAGAUCCUGCUAAGGUGUUUAUCUCGUAUUUGCCACAUUACAGGUAUUUACUCAGGGCAUGUACGUGUCAGGCACAUCUCUGAACAAGGGUUUGGGGGAUUCAGUAGUCAACAUCAUGGACCCCAAUCCUUGGCCCUGCGAAGCCAGCACCGUUGGUAGGGAGACGUGAUACACAUGCCAGGUGAGUGUUAGCUAUCGUGAGUGACCAGCCUCCCGACUCAGUGGACUAGAACCGUCACACGCCUGCCCAUCGUCCACGUAGGCAGCUCAGCCCGUCUGACCUGGCACAGCUGGUCCCCUGCAUCCCGCUGGCAGGGGUGGCCAGUGUCAAGUGGCCUCAGCUUUGCCCCCAGUAGCCUCGUCCUCUAGCAGGCUACACCCAGCUGUGCUCUCGUGGUUCUGGAAGCGGGGAGGAGGGGAGUGGGGACUCUGCAAGCAUUUUUUCAAGCCUUUCCAAGAACCAAGUUUGUUCUCAUCCCACUGUCCACAGCGGUCACACCACCAAGCCUGCAGCAGAAUGGGCAGGGCCUACAAAGGGCAAAGGGCACGGGCACAGGAUGGCCACUUAACUGGAGUAUUGAUGCCAUCAGUGUGCCCCAAUAUGUCACAAAUAAAGUGAGGAGGGCGCAGUGGUCCUUUCGGCACAUGUGGGGAGGGCUGGGGCUUAAUGUAGGGUGGUUGGAGAGGCUCUGAGAGCAGGUGGCUCUGAGUGAAGCCCAAGGGCGUGGUGUCUGAGGAGAGGUCAUUCUUGGUCCGCAGCAGGAUGUGCCACUGAGUCGGUGAGGGCCCUCUCGCCCAAACCUGGACCUUGCAGUGUUAGUCUGGGUGCCAGCAAAGGUCUUCUUGGGGCCACCACAGCACCUUGCUUCCUGAAGGCCCCGUGGACAGGCUGGCUGUCCCAGGCUUGGCACCUCCAGAGUCACAUACCCCGCUCACAGCCAUAGCACACCUCAGGAAGGAGUCUGUGCAGGGUCCUGGGGCACCCACUCCUUCAUGAGGCUGGCCCCCACUUCCCCAGCCCUAAGGCCAUCUCCCAGCUGGCGGGGGGGCCGCGGGCUGCUGCUGCCAUGCUCAGCUGCAGCGGAUGGGAGCAAGACACGGGCCGGAGGUCAGCCGCCUGGUCCACGGGCUGUCUGGGGAACACUGGGAGCCAAAUGCAGGCUGAGGUUCUGGGGUGUGGAGGGGCCUGGGCAGACAGCAGACACAGCGGCAUCUACGUUUCUCAGCUGGCUGGCUGGGAUCAGCGUGUCUCUUCCGGAGACGCCCCCACAGGUUGCACCCAGAAAGAGUUUGACCCGCCGUCUGGGCGUUUCGAGCCCCCUCAGUGGACACACACGAGCCACCACAGCGGCUCUGAACGACAGUGGUUUCUCAGCUCUGCCCACACCAGGACAACUUCCAUGAGGGUCUGACACGGGAAACGUAGUGCUCACGUCUGUCCCCCACCCAGGCCGCCCAGGGUCGGGGACAGACCUGCCUGGAUAUUUCUCACAGCUUUUAAAAGUAGAAACAAAGUCAAAUCAGCUUGAAAAAUACAAAGAGCUACAUCUAACAGCUUCCCAUUAUUGAAGACUUAGGAUUUUUCAGACACGACUUUCUCGGUGAGACCUUGUGCUGCUUCCCAAGGUUACGUUAUUGUCACUCCAGUGUCCAGAAGAGAGAAACUGCGGCUCCCAAAAGGUUCCCUCCCCGACUAGGGGCUGCAGUUUCUUUCCCAGGGUUUUGUCUGCCUCUAUGUCACCAUCAGCAUAAUUUAAGGAGAAGCCAACACUUUUUUGCGACCAAAGUUCUCAGUCCUUUCUCCUACAGCCUCUGCUUGGAGAAAAUUCCCCAGCGGAGAACAUGAGCCCAGAUCCCUGUGUGCUGCGACUAGCUGGGUGUCUCCUGUAAGACCCACGCCUGAGUCCUUGGGAGCACACGGAGAAGAAAACGUGACGUUGUUCCCAGCAGACCCGGUUGGGAGCUGGACUGCUUACUUUCCCCUGGGACCUGACACCGGCUGGCUGUCACAGUGUGUUUCCACAUGCCCUCCAGCCUGCGGACACAGGAUUACUCACAGCACUGGAAGCCGCCCCGUCCCCUGAGCCCGUCAGCCCCGCUCCCCACGGCCGCGGUGAUCCCAGUCUCCCCAGGGGCUGGUUCUGUGAGACUGUCGGGCCCAAAUCCGAUCCAUGUGUGAGCCAGCUGAAGGCGCCUCUGCGGGAAGUGACGCCUCACAGCCGCCCCCCACCUUGGGCCUCUCUGCUUGACACACUCGACGGAGGGCAACAGGGCAAAUUCCAAGACAACAUUUCCAGAAGGAUGAUUCAGAGGCUUGCAGAGGACAUUUGUGGGUAAAAGCCUGCUGCAUCAUCCUGCUGCCAGGAGCAGCCUGGGGACACAUGGCAGGGCGCAGAAUAGGCAGGAACAAGGGUGUCUGAUGAGGGGGACGAUGGGGCUGGAGUUGAGCUCUGCGCAGCACAAGCGGGACCCGCUGACCAGCAUCACGAGGGCUGGGGAGACAGGUAUGUGCAAGGCUGAGCCACUGGGAGACAAAGGAAGGCCCUUGGGAGCGAGAGACGAGGAGACCAAGGCUUCCAGGGUCCUGCUCCCGUCCGAGCUGAGCCGGCUGCCCCCACAGUGCCCCCCGGCCGCUGCCUGCUGAGGCAGGGUGUGCACAGGGCCCAGGAAGAAUGAUCUGGGAGCUCUGGCCUUAGGCGUGAGGCCCAUCUGGGGCCCUUCAGGCGGCCCUAUGGAAACUCCAGGCAUACACACCGCGAUUCCCAGUGCCAGUGCCCACGCAGACGUGACUGAUCCUGAGGGUCUGAUCCUUCCCGCACCCAUGCAGACGUUACUGACAGAUCCUGGGAGUCUGGAACUCACCCAGUCUGUAUUCCACUGAGCCCACAUGGUGGCUGGAGCUACGGUGGUGUAGGUGGCGGGUCUGGCACCCAGCUUCGUUGGGCUGAAGGCACACGGCUCCCCCCGGCUGGUCCACGUCCUCGAGGGCAGUAUGUGGUCUCCUGUGCCCUGUGUCUUCCCCACAGAGCUGGGCUCCCCCGUGCUGACCAUGAAACCAUCUCCUGAUCUAACCUGGCAUUACCCGAGGCAGUGCCCCACUCAAGACAGGCCAGACAAAGCGAGUUGCUGCCUCCCACCUCCUUGCCAGGUUCUUAACCUGGGGUCCAGGCACCCUCCCUAGGCUGCCAGGAGUGCAGGGCUGGGCAAGAAAGCCUUGAACUUGUACGGAAAUCGCUGUGUGAGUGCCGAGUCCCUCCACUCGCAGCCAGCCAUUCCUGUGGAUACACACGCAGCUUAGUAAGAUGAGUCUCCUUCCUCCUCCCCCUCCGCCCUGGUGCCGGAACCUGGGAGGGGAGGGGCGACCUGACUUGGGGGCGCCUACCCCAGUAGAGCAGUUGUCCUGCCCUGAGGCAGUUUUGCACCUGCCCCCAUUAGAGACUGGGUCCCCAAAUGCAGUGCCUCCCCUGGGGAGCAGCACUGGCCAGCUGGCGUCCUGGACCUGGGCAGUUGGCUGCCCGACUGAAUGACGGCUGGGCACAGCCCAGGGCUGCCAGACGCAGGGAACGGCGGGUUGGCCAGGCGCCCUCCCAGACCCUCUGCUGGUGGCGGUGGGGAGGGUCCCGGGGGCCAGAGCCCGCGGCUUGGCUCCAUUUCCCGGAUUCCCGGGCCCCUCGGGCAGGCUCAGUGGCACCUCGCCUCCGGAUCCCGCUGGCCUGCGGGCGGUGCCGCGGGUGAGCCGGGCGGGGGCGUCAUUCCCCUGGGACCCGCACCCUUAGGCCCUCCCAUCCGCUCCGGCCCGGGACGCCGCCCCGGUCCCACUUCGGGAAGUGCCAGGCGCGCAGCGGGACUGCUCU